rnacentral:rRNA from 1 species
UGCCAGCAGCCGCGGUAAUACAGAGGUGGCAAGCGUUGUUCGGUAUCACUGGGCUUAAAGGGCGCGUAGGCGGCAUGGCACGGUUCGGGUGAAAUCCCUCGGCUCAACCGAGGAACUGCCUGGGCAACGACCAUGCUGGACAGCAUCAGGGGAAAGUGGAACUCCCGGUGGAGCGGUGAAAUGCGUAGAUAUCGGGAGGAACGCCGGUGGCGAAAGCGACUUUCUGGGGUGCUUGUGACGCUGAGGCGCGAAAGCUAGGGGAGCGAACGGGAUUAGAUA